rnacentral:rRNA from 1 species
GAUGAACGCUAGCGGCAGGCUUAACACAUGCAAGUCGAGGGGUAUAGUUCUUCGGAGCUAGAGACCGGCGCACGGGUGCGUAACGCGUAUGCAAUCUACCUUUUGCGGAGGGAUAGCCCAGAGAAAUUUGGAUUAAUACCUCAUGGUAUGUGAGAAUGGCAUCAUUUUCACAUUAAAGUCACAACGGCAAAAGAUGAGCAUGCGUCCCAUUAGCUAGUUGGUAAGGUAACGGCUUACCAGGGCAACGAUGGGUAGGGGUCCUGAGAGGGAGAUCCCCCACACUGGUACUGAGACACGGACCAGACUCCUACGGGAGGCAGCAGUGAGGAAUAUUGGACAAUGGGCGCAAGCCUGAUCCAGCCAUGCCGCGUGCAGGAUGACGGUCCUAUGGAUUGUAAACUGCUUUUGUACAGGAAGAAACACUGGUUCGUGAACCAGCUUGACGGUACUGUAAGAAUAAGGAUCGGCUAACUCCGUGCCAGCCGCCGCCGUAAAAC